CGCCGGGGAAAGCCUUGAACUUGGCGGGGCCAGCCCCCAUAAUCCCGGGCAUGGUUGUAAUUCCGGCAAUCCGGAAGCGCUUCGGACGCGGGUUCGAUUCCCGCCACCUCCACCACUGGGGGGGUGUACUGGUUUCGACGGGGUGAGAGAAGGUGAGCAGGCAACUCGUCAGGCGAUCGACGUUAAUGAAGCAAAUCUCUAAACGCCAACGAUGAGCGUUUCGCACUGGCCGCUUAAGGCCUAUGCCGAGGCUGCUUGAGCCUUGUUACCAAAGAAAAGCCGGCGGGGACUUCGGUCCCCGUCGUCA
rnacentral:tmRNA from 1 species